CGCGCGAAGGUCCAAUGUGGGACCGUUUGGUUACUGCUUGUAAUUUGAAAACACAACCUGUGAGCAGCAGCCAGGGCGUGCAGCGGCGUGCAGUGCGUGGGUAUGGUGACUGUGUGGCCUCUGAUGUGCAGGUGUGUGAGCUGCUGGACGAGAGAAGAGCAAACGAAAAGUAAACAUGGGAUUGCUGCCGCCUCAGGACACUAGGAGCAUCGCAGGAGCGCUGAGGAAGAUAAUACAACUCUUGACGCAGCGAACACAACUCUGUACUGAGGCAGGCAGUGGCUUCUCCCAACACCUCACGUGGUCAUCACAACAAGCAAUUCCACGUCAAAUGGAGAUGAUCCUCUUCAAACAGGAGUACAAAACUGAUCUGGCACCAACAAGCAAUAGAGUAGCAUCCCCACGUGCGCCGGACACUUCACCGCCACCCAGCUGUCCCGGCCCGCCAACACACCACAACAGCCUUCCCUGCGACAGCCUCCAAAUUGCCCCCGGGAAGCAAAAGGAGGAAACGUCCAGAGAGUGUAUUUAUUUUACGAUAUGACACCUGAAUACUACUGAUGCCACCGCCGCCGCCGCCGCCGCUGCCGCCGCCGCCACCACCACCACCAUACCAGUCCAUUAAUAAAUAAAACCAGUAUUUCCUGUUCAUGUAUUUUGUCUACGUAAUGAAACAGCGGAGGGAAGCAUCACGUAGACAGACAGGCACGCAUUAGUCUCGCUAUCAGUCCUCCAUCAACAGACAGACUGACUGACUAACUGACUGACUGACCAGUCCUCCAUCAACAGACUGACUGACUGACUGACAAAGACGGACGGACAGACAGGUGGUGUACUUGUACUUAUCUGCUCAGCUUAUCAACUUACUUAACUGUAACCUCAAUCAUGUAACUUUUCAUCAUCACAGAGUCAGGAAAGUUAAAAUAUAGCCUCAUUUGCUCUCUCUCUCUCUCUCUCUCUCUCUCUCUCUCUCUCUCUCUCUCUCUCUCUCUCUCUCUCUCUCUCUAACGUCACAUCACACAGGUCAUUAUAUAGAUGAAAUUGAUGAAAUAUACACACAUUUCCCAAUAGAAUUAGUUUUCUAUGGUAAAUUUACAUAAAUAGUCCAAUAACAGUAUUCAAAACCACAGAUUGCUACCUUUCAUUACGUGUGGAGCUUCAAUCUCAAAUAAAAACCAUUAUAUAUUGACUCAAAUAAGGCAAC